rnacentral:rRNA from 1 species
AGAGUUUGAUCAUGGCUCAGAGUGAACGCUGGCGGCGUGCUUAACACAUGCAAGUCGAACGAGAACGGUACUAGCUUGCUAGUAUGUCAGCUAAGUGGCGGACGGGUGAGUAAUGUAUAGUUAAUCUGCCCUUUAGAGGGGGAUAACAGUUGGAAACGACUGCUAAUACCCCAUACUCCUUUUAUCUUAAUGAUAAUUGGGAAACGUUUUUUCGCUAAAGGAUGAGACUAUAUGGUAUCAGGUAGUUGGUGGGGUAAGAGCCUACCAAGCCAAUGACGCCUAGCUGGUCUGAGAGGAUGAUCAGCCACACUGGAACUGAGACACGGUCCAGACUCCUACGGGAGGCAGCAGUGGGGAAUAUUGCACAAUGGAGGAAACUCUGAUGCAGCAACGCCGCGUGGAGGAUGACGCCUUUCGGUGUGUAAACUCCUUUUAUAUGGGAAGAUAAAUGACGGUACCAUAUGAAUAAGCACCGGCUAACUCCCGU